CUCCAGGGGUCAGUCUUGGACUUAGUUUAGUCUGUGAGUCUGUCCUGAUGUGUUUGCAUUGGAUGCUCUUUGUUUUGUUUCCCUGCAGUAUCCUGAAGGAUAUUUGGAAGCUGUUGCAAACAAAGAUAAGGAAAAAGAAAAUAGUGGAGAUGAUGAGUUUGAUACCCCWGGGAAAGGGAAGAGGAAAAGGAAAUCAGCAGGUGGGGAGGAAAAACUCGUGGCCUCUCCAGCUGGGACUCCAAAGAAGACAAAAGUUGAGCCAUACAAGCUGACAUCCCAGCAGAAAUCUCUCAUAAAAAGCGAUGAAGCCAAYGAGAAACUGUGGAAUGAAGUCCUUGAGGCUCUCAAAGAUGGACCGAAAUUUCUGAAUAAAGUGGAGGAGGCCUUUCUGUGCAUUUGCUGUCAGGAGGUUGUGUUCCGGCCGGUCACCACCGUGUGCCAGCACAACGUGUGCAAGGACUGCCUGGACAGGUCCUUCAAGGCCUCGGUGUUCAGCUGCCCCGCGUGCCGCUACGAGCUGGGCUGUGGUUACAGCAUGGAGGUGAACGAGGCCCUGCAGAGCAUCCUCACCCAACUCUUCCCCGGCUACGGCAGCGGCCGGUGAUCCCCCAAAGCACUUCUCCCUCCCCACACCUACCCACGGGCUUAAUUUAAAACAACAACAACAACAACAACAACAACGAAAAGGUAGUCUGUUCUUUUCUCCCCUCAAAAAUAAUGGUUUAAAGUCUUCCUUUGUUUUUUUAAAAAAAACUGUAAACUCCAAGGAUUAUCCUUCUGUACGUUCGUGGAUUUUGUUUUCGUUCUCUAUGUUGAACUUUGGUUUUUAAUUUUUUUUUUUUUUUCCAUCCC